GUCUCAGCUUCGCUCUGGGCCAAGUCUGGCAGAUGACUGGGUGCCUGCUCCACUCCCACUUGGCACGGCAGCUCCCCACUGGCCCU
rnacentral:miRNA from 1 species